ensembl:lncRNA
CGUGCAUAAUAUUGACAGCGGCUGAUAUUGCGGUGUGACUGCAUCUCAUUUCACAUUAUGAUGAAAUGAAAUGAGGGUGUUUGAAAAAUGGAUUUGACCCAAUCGGUUUGACCCAGCCUCUCAAAGAAAGGUGAUGAUUGAGCCGUUUCUCAACAAUGUGCAACCUUAAGGUGGAUUCUUCCCCGAGUUGUUCAGAUGAGGACAUGUGUGCUUUGUGUGCAAUGGGUCCUUCAAUACACAAUCUUUCUCCUCCUCAUCAGUAUCUUCCUCAUUGUCACCUGGUGCGGGUUGAGUUAUGAACCUGGGUACUUGAGAGCUUGAUUCCCUCAUUCCCAUUUGCGGUGUAGUUCCUGCCUAAGAUUGCCAAGGUGUCCGUGCUAGAUGAUAUAUGGUAUUUUGGACAACAGCCGGAGUUAAAUGAAAUCCCCCCAUUCACUCAGCUAAGCUUUUCUCUCUGCACAAGCCAAACUGGAAAGAGAUGAUGUAGCGCUUUUUAGGCUUAUUCACAGAGAGGCACGCAAAUUGUCCAAAAGCGGUUGCAGGACAGGCUCUUUUUGAGCCAGUAAAAUCAGCGCAGAUGUCCUUGAUUUAUGUGCCAUCUAUCUGUGGGGGUGGGCAGCAAAAAUGUUAGUGUAAAGUUUACAGUUUACACUGAAUGACACAGUAAAUGAAGUUGGUUUGGGAGGACACAUUUGAAUGUAUAUGAAACAGAGGUUUAUCAACGAGAGAACCAUGAGUACUGUGGAGGAGGAGCCGGACCACAUGAUACCAUGAAGAGAAGCCUGCAGGUCCUGCGCUGCCAGCUGCUGAGUGAGUGUCAUAAAAUAUUUCAUAAAGGACUUCUAGAGGACAGCGUAUACAUUGUUCAUGACCUGUUCCCACAUUAGUUCAUUUCAGCAGUGUGCAUUGUUACAGAUUGAUUAAAAAGGAAAACUCGGACCCACAGAGAAAACAUUAAUAUUUCUUGUCCUGUGAAACAUCUACAUUUCCAGACAACUCUUUCCCACCACUAAACACAUA